rnacentral:rRNA from 1 species
GCAACCCUCGUCGUGUGUUAUACGUGUCACACGAUACUGCCGGUAUCAAGCCGGAGGAAGUGGGGAUGAUGUCAAGUCAGCAUGGCCUUUAUAUCCUGGGCUACACACACGCUACAAUGGCAGAUACAAUAGGUCGCGAAACCGCGAGGUGGAGCCAAUCCUCAAAGUCUGCCUCAGUUCAGAUUGUAGGCUGCAACUCGCCUGCAUGAAGUCGGAGUUGCUAGUAAACGCAGGUCAGCUAUACUGCGUUGAAUACGUUCCCGGGGUU